GACGAACGCUGGCGGCGUGCUUAACACAUGCAAGUCGAACGGAAAGGCCCUGCUUUUGUGGGGUGCUCGAGUGGCGAACGGGUGAGUAACACGUGAGUAACCUGCCCUUGACUUUGGGAUAACUUCAGGAAACUGGGGCUAAUACCGGAUAGGAGCUCCUGCUGCAUGGUGGGGGUUGGAAAGUUUCGGCGGUUGGGGAUGGACUCGCGGCUUAUCAGCUUGUUGGUGGGGUAGUGGCUUACCAAGGCUUUGACGGGUAGCCGGCCUGAGAGGGUGACCGGCAAAAUGGGAAUGGGAUACCGGCCCGACUCCUUAGGGGGGCAACCGUGGGGAAUAAUGCCACAAGGGGCGGAGGCUGAAUCCACAACGCCCGGGGGCGGGAGAACGGCUUCGGGGUGGAAACCGCUUUCGCCUGUGACGAAGCGUGAGUGACGGUAAUGGGUAAAGAAGCACCGGCUAACUACGUG
rnacentral:rRNA from 1 species